rnacentral:rRNA from 1 species
AAAGUUUAAAUGGUCGAACAGACCAAAUAACUAAGCUUCUACACCUAAUUUUAACUUUAAUCCAACAUCGAGGUCGCAAUCUUUUCUUUCGAUUUGAACUCUAAAAAAAAAUUACG